rnacentral:lncRNA from 1 species
GGAAGUCGCUAUCCAUCGUCAUCUGCCUUAGUCUCCGGCGUCCCGCUCUCAGCCCACCUCGGGUAGUCUGUGCUGUCCCUGUCCUGUCUGCUGUCGGGAUUCUCCCGGCUUCUGGAGCCCCGUACGCGGCCAGUUGCGGCUUCAACUCUCUCCUCAGCCUUUCAACUAUAGAAUUACAGCUGUGUACCCAUGAUUCUUCAUUAGAAUGGGAACAUUUCUAGUCUUAGUCCUGUUUUAAGAUAACUUUCUUCUCAGAAAGUUCCAUAAGUAAUUUUUUUGUUGUUCAAUUUUGUUAUGAUCUAUUUUCCUUUUAAAAUAGCCUUUGUAUUCUUGGUCGUUAGAUGGCUGUUGGAUGACAGGAUGAGGGUGAAGAAAUAACAAGUAAAUGCAACAACUAGCUCAUAAACUCACAUCUUACAUUUGGAUUUGCAUUUCGUAUGUGAUUAUGAAUUAAUAGAUAUUUACCUAUGGAUACUACUGUCAGUACACAUAAAUUAUGGAAGAAAAUUUACCGAAAUAUAUAUUAUGAAUAUAUUCAUUUGAGACAGAGUCUCACUCUGUGGCUCAGACAUGUCUAGCUCACACUGGUUUGAGUCUUAGCAAACCUGUUGCAUGAAUCUCCCAGGUCCUUGACUAAAGAUCCGGUUCCACCGAUAAAGCUCUGGACGUUAUCCUGAGGCUUUUCGUGUCUAUAAUCUUAAAAGGAAACAACUGAGUGAUAAAAAAUAAUCUUUUCAGAGUUAUGGACAUCCUCCGCUUAAGGUUCUAGAAGCUAUGCCAGAGGCAAGGCAGGUAUGGAAAUAGUGGCCUCCAGACACAACAGGACUGAUUCACAUAUAACCUCCGGGAUGUGGCGGCACACGGAGGGCCUACACAGGUUCAAGCCAGAUGGGGCCAUAGUCCUGAGAUAUGAAAGUGAACAUAAACUCCCAUCUCUAACCAAGAAGCUGUCUUAAAUGACGUCUACUUGCAACAGACAAAUUAUUUUUCUCCAGUGGAGUCUUACUGGAAAUCUACACCCCAUAUAAGGGUGUAAACCGAAGGUACUUCCUAUAGAUAACAGGACAGCUCUAGGCAAUAACUGACAUGCAAUUCAAUUCCAUGUGAAAUUCUGGGAAGAAAUCUAUUCAGUAUUAAUAUAAACAACUUCCAUUCGAACAACACAAAUGCCAUUCCCUGAAGAUGCUGUGUAUUUUACCACAAUAAACAAUAUGUUUUGAAAAAAAA